UGGGGAAUAUUGCGCAAUGGGCGAAAGCCUGACGCAGCAACGCCGCGUGAGUGAUGAAGGCCUUCGGGUCGUAAACCCCUGUCGAAUGGGACGAAAGACUCGCGAGUGAAUACUUCGCGAGAGUGACGGUACCGUUAAAGGAAGCCACGGCUAACUCUGUGCCAGCAGCCGCGGUAAUACAGAGGUGGCAAGCGUUGUUCGGAAUUACUGGGCGUAAAGGGCGCGUAGGCGGCCCUCUAAGUCAGACGUGAAAUCCCCCGGCUUAACCUGGGAACUGCGUCUGAUACUGGAGGGCUUGAGUAUGGGAGAGGGAUGUAGAAUUCCAGGUGUAGCGGUGAAAUGCGUAGAUAUCUGGAGGAAUACCGGUGGCGAAGGCGGCAUCCUGGACCAUUACUGACGCUGAGGCGCGAAAGCUAGGGGAGCAAACGGGAUUAGAUACCCCUGUAGUCCCUGAGCGGGCUGGCAAGGCGCAU
rnacentral:rRNA from 1 species